GGAGGGGGACACAUCCACAGGCACGGCUGGGGCCCCGGACUGGAGCUGGAGCUGAGAAGCAGCCUGGACCAUAGUCCAGGGAGAGACCCGUGGAUGUGGCUCCUGAAGCAGACUCCUUGGCUGCCACGGAACAUCUGCCCACAUUAGGGGCGUCUUCACCGCCUCUCUCUGCCCCAGCAACGCAGGUAUCUCCGAUUGAAUUAGUGACUCCUGAAGCACAAAGCCAGAUAUACAUCAGUGCUGCUUUGGUGAUCAAGCAAGAGACAUAGAUAAGCUGACCACUCCCCUAAACAUAAAGAGUUACACACUUUACAUUUUGAGGAUCAGCCCACCCACUGGCAGAUGAAUUCUUGCCCUUAGCUGAUAAACCAGGGAAUCAAACCAGGUUAUUUUUGUUCAUGAGAUGGUGAAAUACAUUGAAAGUAGCGAAGGGAAAAAAGCGUGAGAGAGAGAACGCCUGCUGCUUCUGCUGGGAUCCUCGCUCGCUGUUCCGGAGUGUUCCAUGGAAAGCACUUAGAUAUUAAGAACAAAGGGUAAGGUCCCCUUGCUGAACAACCUUCCUUAUCAAGGGGACCGGGUACAGUCCCUGCUUAUUCUGGAGUAGCAGAUGUCCUUGCCAGAUUGUGGAAUCAUUCAAAGAAGCAAAUCACAUCUUCAUUCUCUUGAUAAUACAGGCCUGCCUCCUACAGGCCUUGGUGGUUCACUCUGUUCCAGAGUACAAUGCCCAUGUGGCUUCCCACCUGGGCUGCAAGAAAACUGAGCCUCAGAGAGGGGCGGUGACAUGCUCAAAGUCACUGGAACUAUGGUCAGAGCUGAGAUUUCAUCCCUGGUGGUCUUAUGGGGCCAUGUGGACAAAGCAAUGUCCACAGCAGCCAAACUGUGGAAGGAGCC